GCCUCUGACCUCUUGGCAUGCGGCCCGGACAGUUGGAACUCAACCGAACACUUCUAGUCCCAGCCUGCCAUAGGGCUCCAGAAGAAGCGCUGCACCCACAGGGCAGUCGGGCACUAUAAAGAUCUCUUUGUGAUGAGGGUGCCCAGCAUCAUGGAGAACUGAGCGGGACAGUGAGACCCACGUGCAGGUCUGGGGAUGUUUGCUUUGGGCUCCAAGGAGAAAACACAGAGCCUGGAGAUAAGGGGCCUCACUGAAGAGGGGCAAAGUAUGGUCUGAAGAAGAGUCCACCCGACUCUAGAACCUACACAGAGACCUGCAGAACAGCUGGCGAGGCCAGAGAAAGCCUGAGACCACCAUAUAGAGCUGCAGAGACUGCACACUGUGGAGAAUGCGCACCAACACCACCAUCUAGAGCUGCUCAACAGGAGUUGCUGUCGUCACGGUGUCUCUUCACAGCAAGAGAAGACUAACUAAGACACUCCUGCUUAUGGUCAUCCUGCACUUGUCAGGAUGCCCUCCCUUCAGGUACCUA